rnacentral:rRNA from 1 species
GACAGAGGGGGCAAGCGUUGCUCGGAAUCACUGGGCGUAAAGGGCGCGUAGGCGGGAUGGCAAGUCGGUCGUGAAAUCUCUCGGCUCAACCGAGAAACGUCGGCCGAUACUGCCGUUCUUGAGGGAUGCAGAGGAGACUGGAAUUCCCGGUGUAGCGGUGAAAUGUGUAGAGAUCGGGAGGAACACCGGUGGCGAAGGCGGGUCUCUGGACCGAUACUGACGCUGAGGCGCGAAAGCGUGGGGAGCAAACAGG